AACUCAGAUCACGUAGGGUGUUAGUCGUUGAACAAACGAACCUUUGACAGCAGUUGCACCGUCGGGGUACCCUGAUCCAACAUCGAGGUCGUAGAUCUUCUUGUUAAUAUGGACUUUUUGAGAAGGUGGCGCUGUUAUCCCCGGGGUAGCUCGUUUCGUUAGUCAGUGUGACUGGGUCAUGGUGUGUCUUAGACUUGUAGGUCUUGGCAGAAUAUGGAGGUUAAUUUUUUCCACAGUUGUCCCAACUAAAAUUAUUAUUAAUUCGCGUAAAUAAAUUUUUAAAGUUCCACGGGGUCUUUUCGUCUUGCUUGUAAAUGCCAGCUUUUGUACUGGCAGUUCAACUUCAUUGGCUAACCUUAGGAGACAGGUUUUCUCUCGUGUUGCCUUUCAUACGGGUCCUCAUUUAGGGGACAAGUGAUUGUGCUACCUUUGCACGGUUUUGGUUCCGCGGCCGUUUAGGUUCCCACAGGGCAGGCRUUACUUUUAAUGAUUGUUGGGCUAAAAGCUAUGUUUUUGA
rnacentral:rRNA from 1 species